UUAAGCGACUAAGCGUACACGGUGGAUGCCCUGGCAGUCAGAGGCGAUGAAGGACGUGCUAAUCUGCGAUAAGCGUCGGUGAGGUGAUAUGAACCGUUAUAACCGGCGAUUUCCGAAUGGGGAAACCCAGUGUGUUUCGUCACACUAUCAUUAACUGAAUCCAUAGGUUAAUGAGGCGAACCGGGGGAACUGAAACAUCUAAGUACCCCGAGGAAAAGAAAUCAACCGAGAUUCCCCCAGUAGCGGCGAGCGAACGGGGAGGAGCCCAGAGCCUGAAUCAGUGUGUGUGUUAGUGGAAGCGUCUGGAAAGGCGCGCGAUACAGGGUGACAGCCCCGUACACAAAAAUGCACAUGCUGUGAGCUCGAUGAGUAGGGCGGGACACGUGGUAUCCUGUCUGAAUAUGGGGGGACCAUCCUCCAAGGCUAAAUACUCCUGACUGACCGAUAGUGAACCAGUACCGUGAGGGAAAGGCGAAAAGAACCCCGGCGAGGGGAGUGAAAAAGAACCUGAAACCGUGUACGUACAAGCAGUGGGAGCCUCUUAAUGGGGUGACUGCGUACCUUUUGUAUAAUGGGUCAGCGACUUAUAUUCUGUAGCAAGGUUAACCGAAUAGGGGAGCCGAAGGGAAACCGAGUCUUAACUGGGCGUUAAGUUGCAGGGUAUAGACCCGAAACCCGGUGAUCUAGCCAUGGGCAGGUUGAAGGUUGGGUAACACUAACUGGAGGACCGAACCGACUAAUGUUGAAAAAUUAGCGGAUGACUUGUGGCUGGGGGUGAAAGGCCAAUCAAACCGGGAGAUAGCUGGUUCUCCCCGAAAGCUAUUUAGGUAGCGCCUCGUGAAUUCAUCUCCGGGGGUAGAGCACUGUUUCGGCAAGGGGGUCAUCCCGACUUACCAACCCGAUGCAAACUGCGAAUACCGGAGAAUGUUAUCACGGGAGACACACGGCGGGUGCUAACGUCCGUCGUGAAGAGGGAAACAACCCAGACCGCCAGCUAAGGUCCCAAAGUCAUGGUUAAGUGGGAAACGAUGUGGGAAGGCCCAGACAGCCAGGAUGUUGGCUUAGAAGCAGCCAUCAUUUAAAGAAAGCGUAAUAGCUCACUGGUCGAGUCGGCCUGCGCGGAAGAUGUAACGGGGCUAAACCAUGCACCGAAGCUGCGGCAGCGACACUAUGUGUUGUUGGGUAGGGGAGCGUUCUGUAAGCCUGUGAAGGUGGCCUGUGAGGGUUGCUGGAGGUAUCAGAAGUGCGAAUGCUGACAUAAGUAACGAUAAAGCGGGUGAAAAGCCCGCUCGCCGGAAGACCAAGGGUUCCUGUCCAACGUUAAUCGGGGCAGGGUGAGUCGACCCCUAAGGCGAGGCCGAAAGGCGUAGUCGAUGGGAAACAGGUUAAUAUUCCUGUACUUGGUGUUACUGCGAAGGGGGGACGGAGAAGGCUAUGUUGGCCGGGCGACGGUUGUCCCGGUUUAAGCGUGUAGGCUGGUUUUCCAGGCAAAUCCGGAAAACCAAGGCUGAGGCGUGAUGACGAGGCACUACGGUGCUGAAGUGACAAAUGCCCUGCUUCCAGGAAAAGCCUCUAAGCAUCAGGUAACAUCAAAUCGUACCCCAAACCGACACAGGUGGUCAGGUAGAGAAUACCAAGGCGCUUGAGAGAACUCGGGUGAAGGAACUAGGCAAAAUGGUGCCGUAACUUCGGGAGAAGGCACGCUGAUAUGUAGGUGAAGCGACUUGCUCGUGGAGCUGAAAUCAGUCGAAGAUACCAGCUGGCUGCAACUGUUUAUUAAAAACACAGCACUGUGCAAACACGAAAGUGGACGUAUACGGUGUGACGCCUGCCCGGUGCCGGAAGGUUAAUUGAUGGGGUUAGCGGUAACGCGAAGCUCUUGAUCGAAGCCCCGGUAAACGGCGGCCGUAACUAUAACGGUCCUAAGGUAGCGAAAUUCCUUGUCGGGUAAGUUCCGACCUGCACGAAUGGCGUAAUGAUGGCCAGGCUGUCUCCACCCGAGACUCAGUGAAAUUGAACUCGCUGUGAAGAUGCAGUGUACCCGCGGCAAGACGGAAAGACCCCGUGAACCUUUACUAUAGCUUGACACUGAACAUUGAGCCUUGAUGUGUAGGAUAGGUGGGAGGCUUUGAAGUGUGGACGCCAGUCUGCAUGGAGCCGACCUUGAAAUACCACCCUUUAAUGUUUGAUGUUCUAACGUUGGCCCCUAAUCGGGGUUGCGGACAGUGUCUGGUGGGUAGUUUGACUGGGGCGGUCUCCUCCUAAAGAGUAACGGAGGAGCACGAAGGUUGGCUAAUCCUGGUCGGACAUCAGGAGGUUAGUGCAAUGGCAUAAGCCAGCUUGACUGCGAGCGUGACGGCGCGAGCAGGUGCGAAAGCAGGUCAUAGUGAUCCGGUGGUUCUGAAUGGAAGGGCCAUCGCUCAACGGAUAAAAGGUACUCCGGGGAUAACAGGCUGAUACCGCCCAAGAGUUCAUAUCGACGGCGGUGUUUGGCACCUCGAUGUCGGCUCAUCACAUCCUGGGGCUGAAGUAGGUCCCAAGGGUAUGGCUGUUCGCCAUUUAAAGUGGUACGCGAGCUGGGUUUAGAACGUCGUGAGACAGUUCGGUCCCUAUCUGCCGUGGGCGCUGGAGAACUGAGGGGGGCUGCUCCUAGUACGAGAGGACCGGAGUGGACGUAUCACUGGUGUUCGGGUUGUCAUGCCAAUGGCACUGCCCGGUAGCUAAAUGCGGAAGAGAUAAGUGCUGAAAGCAUCUAAGCACGAAACUUGCCCCGAGAUGAGUUCUCCCUGAGACUUAGAGUCUCCUGAAGGAACGUUGAAGACGACGACGUUGAUAGGCCGGGUGUGUAAGCGCAGCGAUGCGUU
rnacentral:rRNA from 2 species